rnacentral:rRNA from 1 species
GACCAGACUCCUACGGGAGGCAGCAGUGGGGAAUAUUGCACAAUGGGGGGAACCCUGAUGCAGCGACGCCGCGUGGGUGAAGGAGCACCUCGGUGCGUAAAGCCCUAUCGGCAGGGAAGAAACAGACGGUACCUGACUAAGAAGCCCCGGCUAACUACGUGCCAGCAGCCGCGGUAAUACGUAGGGGGCAAGCGUUAUCCGGAUUUACUGGGUGUAAAGGGGGCGCAGACGGCAGCGCAAGCCAGGAGUGAAAGCCCGGGGCCCAACCCCGGGACUGCUCUUGGAACUGCGCGGCUGGAGUGCAGGAGGGGCAGGCGGAAUUCCUGGUGUAGCGGUGAAAUGCGUAGAUAUCAGGAGGAACACCGGCGGCGAAGGCGGCCUGCUGGACCGUGACUGACGUUGAGGCUCGAGAGCGUGGGGAGCAAACAGGAUUAGAUACCCUAGUAU